GACAGAGGGUGCAAACGUUGCUCGGAAUUACUGGGCGUAAAGCGCGCGUAGGCGGACCUGCAAGUCGGGGGUGAAAGCCCGAGGCUCAACCUCGGAACUGCCUUCGAUACUGCGGGUCUCGAGUCCGGGAGAGGUGAGUGGAAUUCCUAGUGUAGAGGUGAAAUUCGUAGAUAUUAGGAAGAACACCAGUGGCGAAGGCGGCUCACUGGCCCGGUACUGACGCUGAGGCGCGAAAGCGUGGGGAGCAAACAGG
rnacentral:rRNA from 1 species